GAUAGAGACCGGCGCACGGGUGAGUAACGCGUAUGCAAUCUACCUUUUACUAAGGGAUAGCCCAGAGAAAUUUGGAUUAAUACCUUAUGUGAUUAUAAGAUAACCUUAUUUAAUAAUUAAAGAUUUAUCGGUAAAAGAUGAGCAUGCGUCCCAUUAGCUAGUUGGUAUGGUAACGGCAUACCAAGGCGACGAUGGGUAGGGGUCCUGAGAGGGAGAUCCCCCACACUGGUACUGAGACACGGACCAG
rnacentral:rRNA from 1 species